rnacentral:misc_RNA from 1 species
CCCAGUCCUGUGAGUCGGCAAGCAGUGCUUGCCCCACGCACGACAGCACACCGCGUGCUGCGAACGAUCUUAAACAGUACGGAGCCUCUUGGUCUCGCCGCGCAACCUGAUCACCAUCCACAAAUGCGAUGCAGUCUUGUGCGCUCUGCCGGCGAACAGGCGUGUUCUUUCUGACCACUGGUACACCACGAGCAAGCGCGCUCCGCGUAAUCUCGACGAGCAGGACUACCAUUGAGGCUUCACUGAUGUCGCCGUGCGCUGCCACAGCGCUGAGGUGCGCACGCCGAUGCUCGUCCACGCCAAGCCUGAACUCCGUCCCGAAUAAGGAAGAGGCGCUGUCAUCUCUUCAGACCCGCUUGAGUGGCGAGUCGGUGCAAUCUUCGACGCCCCGCAGCGACGAUGAGACGGCGAAUCUGGCCACAUCUAUCGCCGAGCUUCUGCAGUACCGCCGGCAGAUCACCAGCGUGUACACGGGCCUUUUGGCAGACCGACGUGUCCAGUAUCGCGAUGAGCUACUUCUGAGCUCCUUGGGCUCUACCCAGGCCGAUAUGCAGGUGCUGCUUCGGCGCUUGCUGGCCUCCCCCACUGAGGCAGCCGCAAGUGCUACCCAGAUAGCGCAAGAAGCGCCACCCCAGAUGACACCUGACGCCGUACGAAGGCUGAAGGAGACGUGGACGCGAAUCAAUGGUGUGGCUACCCACUCUCGCGAUGCGGCGACGCGCCAAGCGUACUUCUCCGAGGUGCGUGACUGCUACGCAACGCUAAUCUGCAGCGGCCUGCUGCGGACCGAAAGCGAGGUGCGGCUCAUUUUGAGUGAAAUGCGUAACACCGACCUGAUUGAACCCGACGCGUCUUUUUACGAGGUGCUGUUCGUGGCUUUGUGGUGCCUUGACGACGUGCGUGAGUCGACCGUAGCCACGGGGAAGCACCGCGCUGCAGGUUCGCGCCAGACGCCAGAGAUCGUCGCUGGAGAGGUGAGGCAGCUGCGGCGGAGCGUCGUGGGGGACCUCGCUGGGUAUUACAUGGGCCACGCACUGGCGCAGCUCUCGACGUCUCGCGCGCCGAUCGCAAGCGCGGCUCCGAUGCACACGGCGGUGCGUCCCGAAACGUGGGAGGUCUUCUUCGCCACACUGGCCAACACUCAGCCUGCGCCGAAACUGAUGGAUCUUUGGUGGAAGCGGCUCUUGGAGUGGUUGGAUGAGCAGGUACCACUCGUGUCAGCCAGGACAUCCGUCGGCGCACUCGACAAGGGAGCAAGUGCGGCAAAGGGGGCGCCGGUGCCGUACCAGGCAGCUCACGCCGUGCUGGCAUGGUGCGCGCAGUCGCGCGAGAUGGAGAAGGCUUUGAACUAUUUCAACGCCGUCAACCAGCGCGGCGUCACACUGCAUGCGACUACGAUGCCGCACAUCUCACUGCCUGCUGAGUUAGUGGAGGACUUCACCCGAGCCGGCUGCCUCACUUCCCCUUCUACACACACCUCGGUGCAGCAGCUGCAGCUCGCUCUCCUUGUGAAGCUGAUGGUGAGUACAAAGUCCGUCAAGAUGGACGGAGGCCUGCGUGCGCUGGUGGUGCGAGACGUGCAGCGGCAAGUCAGCCCGGAUGUGCUGUACACGGCGCCAUGGGAAGUUAUCAACGACUUCAUCGCUGGGCUCUCGGUGCCCAGCGCGAUGCAGCUGCUGCGCCGAUGCUCUUCCUCCCCCGCCGCGGCAACGGCGUCAUCGACGCUGUCGGAGAAGCGAAGCAGCUCGGACGAUGGGGCAUGCGAUGACGAAGCGACGGUGGGCUCUGCGACGAAGGGCGAGGGCGGGCGCGAGAUUCCAUUUUUCGUCUGGGCCUCGCUGCUGCGCCGGUGCUGCCGAGAGCACCUGCAGGACGAGGCAGAGUCCCUCUUUGUGUUUCUGCGCAAGAAGUUCUCGGUCACGGCGACGGAGAAGCGCGAGCUGAUUGAGAUUAUGAUGCGCAUGUACACGACAAUGCACCCCGCCGACUUCCCUUCCGCCAUGGAUGUCUUUCUUCAGCAUGUUCUUCGUACACCAGAAGGGGAGCCGACAGUGAAGCCAGACACCGUACUUUACGGGCUGCUCGUCAAGGGCGCGGACUCCCGAAACGCGGCCAUGAUGGUAUUUCUGGAGGCCUGCGCAGCCGGGGUGGCGCUCACCGAGGAGCUUUUCGAGGCCCUCAUGGGGUCGACGCAGUACAAAACAGUCGGAUCGUUGAGCAGGAAGCUGCCCCAUGACUACGCCGCCUCCUCCCUAGACGCGCAGCUGAAGAUCCCGGCCAACGCGGACGCACAUCUUCGACGCGAAGAGGCCCUUCGUGCCCGCGGCAAACCGCUCUACGACUCUACGGGCGACGUCGGGUGACCGCCUGAAGCAGUGCACAUAGACACAACGGCCUACCUCGAGCGAGCGCGGUCGAUACGCUGGUGUGCGUCGCUAUGAAUUUGUCCACGUCGCUUUGUGCUUGGUGUUUCCCUCUUUUUUUUCUGGCCGAUAAGUGAAGCUGCCGAGUGGGCCACCUCUGUGGAGUUCACGUGUACGCUGCAAAUGCUGAGGCAUGGCCACCCCAUUUUGCACGGGCACUGGCGGGCAAAAGGAAGACGCAUGGGAGCGAGGGCGAGGAAGAUGAUCAUCUGGCUUUUGACACUCUCGCCGUGCGCUUUCCUUUCAUUUGUUUUUUUUUCCGCUUCUUGCGGCACACACGCUUCUGACUUCCUCUCUGUGGGCGUCGCUCACUUGACACAGGCAGAGCGGGAGGUUAAGUGGGAGGGGCGAACGAAUAUGUGCGAACACGCAGCAACAGGCAACUGCACGCGUUCUUCUCGCGUCCGCUUCACGUUAAGUGUAGCUCACACCGCCAUCCGAGAUGGAAACGGCGCCGCCGAAGAAGACAGGGCACGCCAGGAGAGACGAGAUCAUGGCUUCUGCGUCUCAUCUGUCCCUCUCUUGCUCUCCGUUGAGUGACGCUUCCCUAACGCGCACUGCGUUCUUGCCUCUAG